GAGUUUGAUCAUGGCUCAGAACGAACGCUGGCGGCGUGCUUAACACAUGCAAGUCGAAUGCGAACGGCUCCUUCGGGAGGUCAGUAGCAUGGCAGACGGGUGAGGAGUACGUAUCUGACUGGACUCAGGCUGGGGGAUAGUCCUCCGAAAGGAGGUUGAAUACCGCAUGUGCUCCCGAUUGUCAUGAUGGGGAGGAAAGGUGGCCUCUGCGUGCACGCUAUCGGCCUGAGACGGGGAUGCGUCCUAUUAGCUGGCUGGUGGGGUAAUGGCCUACCAGGGCAACGAUGGGUAGCUGGUCUGAGUGGAAGAUCAGCCACACUGGGACUGCGACACGGCCCAGACUCCUACGGGAGGCAGCAGUGGGGAAUUUUGCACAAUGGGCGCAAGCCUGAUGCAGCAACGCCGCGUGAGUGACGACGCCUUUCGAGGUGUAAAGCUCUGUCGAACGGGACGAAGGCGCGGGGAUGAACAAUCUCCGUGAAUGACGGUACCGUUGGAGGAAACCCCGGCUAACUCCGUGCCAGCAGCCGCGGUAA
rnacentral:rRNA from 1 species